rfam:Tilletia walkeri strain DAOM 236422 scaffold_256, whole genome shotgun sequence.
GCAUUAGUAGUUUAGUGGUAAAAUAGGCGCUUGCCAUGCGCCUGCCGGGGGUUCGAUUCCCUCCUAAUGCA